rnacentral:rRNA from 1 species
UGGGGAAUAUUGGACAAUGGGCGAAAGCCUGAUCCAGCCACGCCGCGUGAGUGAUGAAGGCCUUCGGGUCGUAAAGCUCUGUGGGGAGGGACGAACGUCCCCGUGAAGAACGGGGGGUGACGGUACCUCCUUAGCAAGCACCGGCUAACUUCGUGCCAGCAGCCGCGGUAAUACGAAGGGUGCAAACGUUGCUCGGAAUCAUUGGGCGUAAAGCGCACGUAGGCGGCAUUCUAAGUCGGAUGUGAAAUCCCUCGGCUCAACCGAGGACGUGCAUCCGAAACUGGAACGCUCGAGUAUGGAAGAGGGUCGCGGAAUUCUCGGUGUAGAGGUGAAAUUCGUAGAUAUCGGGAGGAACACCAGUGGCGAAGGCGGCGACCUGGGCCAAUACUGACGCUGAGGUGCGAAAGCGUGGGGAGCAAACAGG